CGCCUGUUUAUCAAAAACAUGGCUUUUUGAAUAAUAUAAUUAUAAAAGGUCUGGCCUGCCCGGUGGAUGUUUCUAAACGGUCGCAGCUGCCACUGUGCGAAGGUAGCGUAAUAGGUCGUCCUUUAAUUGGGGGAGAGUAUGAAUGGUCGGAUGUUGGAAAUUCUUUAUUAGAGGUGAUUAAUGAAUUUUACUUUUUAGUGCAAAGGCUAAAAUAAAAUUAUUAGACGAGAAGACCCUGUUGAGCUUGGUAAGAGCAGUUCAAGGGAGAAUUGUUUAUAUGUUUAUUCGGGGUUGAAUGGAAGGGCUUUAGUGCCUUCUAGAGUAGAAUUUAGAUCCAGUAAGACUGAAUGUAGAAGACAGUUACCACAGGGAUAACAGCGCAAUCUCCUUGUUAAGGUCUUAUUUGAGGGGUGGUUUGCGACCUCGAUGUUGAAUCAGAAUUUCUACUAGGUGUAGCAGCUUUGUAAGUAGGACUGUUCGUCCUUUAAAAUUCUACGUGAUCUGAGUUCAGACCGGA
rnacentral:rRNA from 1 species